UACGUAGGGACCGAGCGUUGUCCGGAUUCAUUGGGCGUAAAGAGCUCGUGGGCGGCUGUUCAAGUCGAACGUGAAAACUCGGAGCUCAACCUCGGAACUGCCUUUGAUACUGCAAAUCUCGAGUCCGGAAGAGGUGAGUGGAAUUCCUAGUGUAGAGGUGAAAUUCGUAGAUAUUAGGAAGAACACCAGUGGCGAAGGCGGCUCACUGGUCCGGUACUGACGCUGAGGUGCGAAAGCGUGGGGAGCAAACAGG
rnacentral:rRNA from 1 species